rnacentral:rRNA from 1 species
UGGGGAAUCUUCCGCAAUGGACGAAAGUCUGACGGAGCAACGCCGCGUGAGUGAAGACGGCCUUCGGGUUGUAAAGCUCUGUUAUUCGGGAAGAACGAUUCGUUUGUGAACAAUGAACGGAAGUGACGGUACCGAAAGAGAAAGUCACGGCUAACUACGUGCCAGCAGCCGCGGUAAUACGUAGGUGGCAAGCGUUGUCCGGAAUUAUUGGGCGUAAAGAGCGCGUAGGCGGUAUGGUAAGUCUGUCUUAGAAGUGCGGGGCUUAACCCCGUGAGGGGACAGAGACUGUCAUACUGGAGUCUCGGAGAGGAAAGCGGAAUUCCUAGUGUAGCGGUGAAAUGCGUAGAGAUUAGGAAGAACACCGGUGGCGAAGGCGGCUUUCUGGACGAGCACUGACGCUGAGGCGCGAAAGCGUGGGGAGCGAACAGG